rnacentral:tRNA from 1 species
GGGCACAUGGUGUAGUUGGUUAUCACGCUCGCUUAGCACUCAUUGAGGCGUUUGCGAGAGGUGUUGGGUUCAAUUCCCAAUGCGUCCA